rnacentral:tRNA from 1 species
GCUGUGGUAGCUCAGUUGGCAGAGCAGCUGAUUCGUAAUCAGCAGGUCGUGGGUUCGAAUCCCACCCUCAGCUCCA